rnacentral:rRNA from 1 species
GAUGAACGCUGGCGGCGUGCUUAACACAUGCAAGUCGAACGAAGCACUUUAUUUGAUUUCCUUCGGGAUUGAUUAUUUUGUGACUGAGUGGCGGACGGGUGAGUAACGCGUGGGUAACCUGCCUUGUACAGGGGGAUAACAGUUGGAAACGGCUGCUAAUACCGCAUAAGCGCACGGCAUCGCAUGAUGCAGUGUGAAAAACUCCGGUGGUAUAAGAUGGACCCGCGUUGGAUUAGCUAGUUGGUGAGGUAGCGGCCCACCAAGGCGACGAUCCAUAGCCGACCUGAGAGGGUGACCGGCCACAUUGGGACUGAGACACGGCCCAAACUCCUACGGGAGGCAGCAGUGGGGAAUAUUGCACAAUGGGCGAAAGCCUGAUGCAGCGACGCCGCGUGAGCGAAGAAGUAUUUCGGUAUGUAAAGCUCUAUCAGCAGGGAAGAUAAUGACGGUA